CGCUCCGCGCCGCCCGCUUUCUCCGAGUAGGACGCUGUCCGCAGCUUGUGCAUUUCGCAGCCGCUGCCGCCUCGCCGGUGCUCCUUCGCAACGCCACUUCCACUCACCGACACCAACAUGAACCGACAGCUCAACGGCUUCCAGGAGGCGUUCAUCGAGGAGGGCACGUUCCUCUUCACCUCAGAGUCGGUGGGGGAAGGCCACCCAGAUAAGAUUUGUGACCAGAUCAGUGAUGCUGUCCUUGAUGCCCACCUUCAACAGGAUCCUGAUGCCAAAGUAGCUUGUGAAACUGUUGCUAAAACUGGAAUGAUCCUUCUUGCUGGGGAAAUUACAUCCAGAGCUGCUGUUGACUACCAGAAAGUGGUUCGUGAAGCUGUUAAACAUAUUGGAUAUGAUGAUUCUUCCAAAGGGUUUGACUACAAGACUUGUAAUGUGCUGGUAGCCUUGGAGCAACAGUCACCAGAUAUUGCUCAAGGUGUUCAUCUUGACAGAAAUGAAGAAGAUAUUGGUGCUGGAGACCAGGGCUUAAUGUUUGGCUAUGCCACUGAUGAAACUGAGGAGUGUAUGCCUUUAACCAUUGUCUUGGCACACAAGCUAAAUGCCAAACUGGCAGAACUGCGCCGUAAUGGCACUUUGCCUUGGUUACGCCCUGAUUCUAAAACUCAAGUUACUGUGCAGUAUAUGCAGGAUUGAGGUGCUGUGCUUCCCAUCAGAGUCCACACAAUUGUUAUAUCUGUUCAGCAUGAUGAAGAGGUUUGUCUUGAUGAGGUGAGGGAUGCCCUAAAGGAGAAAGUCAUCAAAGCAGUUGUGCCUGCAAAAUACCUUGAUGAGGAUACAAUCUACCACCUACAGCCAAGUGGCAGAUUUGUUAUUGGUGGGCCUCAGGGUGAUGCUGGUUUGACUGGACGGAAAAUCAUUGUGGACACUUAUGGCGGUUGGGGUGCUCACGGAGGAGGUGCCUUUUCAGGAAAAGAUUAUACCAAGGUCGACCGUUCAGCUGCUUAUGCUGCUCGUUGGGUGGCAAAAUCCCUUGUUAAAGGAGGUCUGUGCCGGAGGGUUCUUGUUCAGGUCUCUUACGCUAUUGGAGUUUCUCAUCCAUUAUCUAUCUCCAUUUUCCAUUAUGGUACCUCUCAGAAGAGUGAGAGAGAGCUAUUAGAGAUUGUGAAGAAGAAUUUCGAUCUCCGCCCUGGGGUCAUUGUCAGGGAUCUGGAUCUGAAGAAGCCAAUUUAUCAGAGGACUGCAGCCUAUGGCCACUUUGGUAGGGACAGCUUCCCAUGGGAAGUGCCCAAAAAGCUUAAAUAUUGAAAGUGUUAGCCUUUUUUCCCCAGACUUGUUGGCGUAGGCUACAGAGAAGCCUUCAAGCUCUGAGGGAAAGGGCCCUCCUUCCUAAAUUUUCCUGUCCUCUUUCAGCUCCUGAUCACUUGCAGUCACUCUAGUCAAUGACAUGAAUUUUAGCUUUUGUGGGGGACUGUAAGUUGGGCUUGCUAUUCUGUCCCUAGGUGUUUUGUUCACCAUUAUAAUGAAUUUAGUGAGCAUAGGUGAUCCAUGUAACUGCCUAGAAACAACACUGUAGUAAAUAAUGCUUUGAAAUUGAACCUUUGUGCCCUAUCACCCAAUGCUCCAAAGUCAUAAUUGCAUUGACUUUCCCACCAGAUGCUGAAAAUGUCCUUGUAAUGUGCACGUAAAGUACUUGUAGUUCCACUUACAGCCUGUCUGGCAAUGCCACAGCCCUGUCAGCAUGAAUUUGUAAUGUCUUGAGCUCUAUUAUGAAUGUGAAGCUUUCCCCUUACCCUCCCUGUAACUUGAUCCACUUCUAAUUAUGUAGCUCUUUUGUCAGGGAGUGUUCCCUAUCCAAUCAAUCUUGCAUGUAACGCAAGUUCCCAGUUGGAGCUCUAGCCUGACAUCAAAAAGAGGCAGUUACCAUUAAACCAUCUCCCUGGUGCUUAUGCUUUUAAUUGCCACCUCUAACAGCACCAAAUCAAAAUCUCUCCACUUUCAGCUGUCUUUUGGAGGACGUACGUAAUAAGGUUUUAAUUUAGUAAACCAAUCCUAUGCAUGGUUUCAGCACUAGCCAAACCUCACCAACUCCUAGUUCUAGAAAAACAGGCACUUGGCAGCCUUGUGAUGUCAUACAGAGAAGUCACAGGGCAGUACCUGAGGGUCUGUAGGUUGCACACUUUGGUACCAGAUAACUUUUUUUUUUCUUUAUAAGAAAGCCUGAGUACUCCACACUGCACAAGAACUCCUCCCAGGGUUUUAACUUUGUUUUAUUUUCAAAACCAGAUCCAAUGAGCUUUCUGAACAGCUGGUGUAGCUACAGAGAAACCAGCUUCCUUCAGAGAGCAGUGCUUUUUGGCGGGGAGGAGGAAAUCCCUUCAUACUUGAACGUUUUCUAAUUGCUUAUUUAUUGUAUUCUGGGGUAUGGCGUAAGUACAGAGAAGCCAUCACCUCAGAUGGCAGCUUUUAAAAGAUUUUUUUUUUUCUCUCAACACCAUGAUUCCUUUAACAUGUUUCCACCAUUCCCAGGUAGGCCAAGGUGUCCUACAGAAAAACCUUGGGUUAGACCUACAGGGGGUCUGGCUGGUGUUAACAGAAGGGAGGGCAGAGCUGGUGCGGCUGGCCACGGAGAAAGCUGACUUGGCUGGUGUGGUACAGAGAAGCCAGCUUGUUUACAUGCUUAUUCCAUGACUGCUUGCCCUAAGCAGAAAGUGCCUUUCAGGAUCUAUUUUUGGAGGUUUAUUACGUAUGUCUGGUUCUCAAUUCCAACAGUUUAAUGAAGAUCUAAAUAAAAUGCUAGGUUCUACCU